GAUGAACGCUAGCGGCAGGCCUAACACAUGCAAGUCGAGGGGUAGAAUUAGCUUGCUAAUUUGAGACCGGCGCACGGGUGCGUAACGCGUAUGCAAUCUGCCUUGUACUGAGGGAUAGCCCAGAGAAAUUUGGAUUAAUACCUCAUAGUGUUAUUGAAUGGCAUCAGUUAAUAACUAAAGUUCCAACGGUACAAGAUGAGCAUGCGUCCCAUUAGUUAGUUGGUAAGGUAACGGCUUACCAAGACGAUGAUGGUUAGGGGUCCUGAGAGGGAGAUCCCCCACACUGGUACUGAGACACGGACCAGACUCCUACGGGAGGCAGCAGUGAGGAAUAUUGGUCACUGGGCGCAAGCCUGAACCAGCCAUGCCGCGUGCAGGAUGACGGUCCUAUGGAUUGUAAACUGCUUUUAUACGGGAAGAAACACUCCUACGUGUAGGAACUUGACGGUACCGUAAGAAUAAGGAUCGGCUAACUCUGUGCCAGCCGCCGCAGUAAGAC
rnacentral:rRNA from 1 species